UUCAACCUAUUACUUUACUUAGCUACCUUUUGAAAGUCGACCUUUGUGUACUACCUACCCUUAUCAUCUAAGUCUAUAUAGGACCCACACAGUGUAUUAAUAUUGGCCCUGCCAGGCCCCCUUAGAAGGGUUUUGAUCAACCAACCACGCUUAUUAUACAUACCCCUCUCAUAACGAUGUUUUGGGUUAUCCUUGGAAUCUAAUUUUCACCCAAUACUCCGAGUACCAUCCAAAAAGGAAAAAGAUAUGUCUGUCAAGUUUGGUUGAACUCAACGUUCUACACGUCUAAAGCUCAUGAAAUUCUUGUGAUAUAUAUAGUAUGUAGCAAGUCCAAGUUACAAGACACCACCUCCUCCUCCACCAAUCAAGGUGUCACCACCUCCUUCACCAGUCAAGGUGCUACCGCCGCCUCCACCAAUUAAGGCCACAACCCCACCUCCACCAGUUGAGGUUCUACCGCCGCCUCCACCUACCUCACCCACACCAAAAACUAAACUUGGUAAGUUCUUACUAGUUACUACGAGUGCUUCAAGAUUCAAGCUAUCGAUGAAAAUUAGAUAAUGUACUUGUUUAUUGUCUUUGUAGAGUGCAACCCCCUAUGCAUCGAAAGGUGCAAGUUGCAUUCUCGGAAGAGAUUAUGCAUGAGAGCGUGCAUGACUUGUUGUGACCGAUGCAAAUGCGUUCCUCCCGGGCAAUACGGAAACAAAGAAAAAUGUGGCAAAUGCUACACAGAUAUGACUACUCAUGGUGGAAAGUCGAAAUGUCCUUGAAUGAGGAUUGAGGGCACACUUGGAAUAACAAUAUUAAUAAGAACCAAUUUUUUUCUUCCUCGAUGUUAUUCGGUGUCGUCUAUUACUCUUUAUCAAACAUAUCAUUAUAUGCAUUCCUGCUUAUUUCAAUGAACAAAUGUUACUUGCAUGAGCUAAAUGCACAAUUUUGAGCACUAAAUAAAGGGAAAUACCGACUCUUGUUUCAACUUUUUAAGAUA
rnacentral:lncRNA from 1 species